rnacentral:rRNA from 1 species
CCUACGGGAGGCAGCAGUGGGGAAUAUUGGGCAAUGGGCGCAAGCCUGACCCAGCAAUGCCGCGUGAAGGAAGAAGGCUUUCGGGUUGUAAACUUCUUUGACAGGGGAAGAGCAGAAGACGGUACCCUGAAAACAAGCCACGGCUAACUACGUGCCAGCAGCCGCGGUAAUACGUAGGUGGCAAGCGUUGUCCGGAUUUACUGGGUGUAAAGGGCGUGUAGCCGGGAAGGCAAGUCAGAUGUGAAAUCCGGAGGCUCAACCUCCGAAUUGCAUUUGAAACUGUUUUUCUUGAGUACUGGAGAGGCAGACGGAAUUCCUUGUGUAGCGGUGAAAUGCGUAGAUAUAAGGAGGAACACCGAUUGCGAAGGCAGCAUACCGGCGCUCAACUGACGCUCAUGCACGAAAGUGUGGGUAUCGAACAGGAGUAGAUACCCCUGUAGUC